UAUAGGUUCCUAAUUUUUGGGGUAAAUGGGAAGCAAAAAAGCUGACCCGCAGCCGUGAGAGAGGACGAUUCCAUAAUAGCCACUGUGAUUAUUUUCAUGGGAAGGCAUGGAGGAGGACGAUACUUGAGCCGGCAAACCAGCCUAUAUGA
rnacentral:ncRNA from 1 species